UAGAGCCUUUGAAGAGUGGGAGCAAGGAAAGAAAAAGAAAGGCAACUUUUAUGAUUAAAUAAAAUCAUGAUCCGUGCAGAAUGUUUCUCAGCAUGUGGAAUAUUCACGAUACCAGACAACAACAAAGAUGCUAUUUUUGUCUUCUUGAAGAAUAAAGACCAGAAGGAAAGCCAUAGUAAUGAUGGGAGCUCCUGCACUUCUCCAGUUCUGCAAGGGGACCGAGGCUCGAAAAGGUCGGUGGCCCACGUUAGACUCCCAAGGGGCAGAACCGGUACUCAACCCGUGGCAGGACUGAGAAUUCUACAGACUGUGUGUGAAUCCCGACCCGGCCAUGCACUGGCUAAAACACCGACUUCACCUCCCUGCUCCCGUGACCUCAUCCUUAAAGAAGACAGUAAUUCCAAUUCGGGCUUGCUGUGAGGAUUAAAUAAAACAAUGCCUAUGGAGUGUCUAA